UACGGAGGGUGCGAGCGUUGCCCGGAAUCACUGGGCGUAAAGGGCGCGUAGGCGGCUUUUUAAGGGUGCGGUGAAAGCCCGGGGCUUAACCCCGGGUCGGCCGUGCCGACUGAGAAGCUGGAGCACUGUAGAGGCAGGUGGAAUUCCGGGUGUAGCGGUGGAAUGCGUAGAGAUCCGGAAGAACACCAGUGGCGAAGGCGGCCUGCUGGGCAGUUGCUGACGCUGAGGCGCGACAGCGUGGGGAGCAAACAGG
rnacentral:rRNA from 1 species